rnacentral:rRNA from 1 species
UACGUAGGGGGCUAGCGUUGUCCGGAAUCAUUGGGCGUAAAGCGCGCGUAGGCGGCCCUGUUAGUCCGCUGUAAAAGUCAAAGGCUCAACCUUUGAAUGCCGGUGGAUACUGCAGGGCUAGAGUCCGGAAGAGGCGAGUGGAACUCCUGGUGUAGCGGUGGAAUGCGCAGAUAUCAGGAGGAACACCGGUGGCGAAGGCGGGUCUCUGGCAAUAACUGACGCUGAGGAGCGAAAGCGUGGGAGCGAACAGG